AGGCCUGCUGGGACAACAGUUCAAGCAGGUGAACCUACACAGCAUGAAAGUAUCACACAUUUCCUUAGUGCAGCUAACCCUGUGUGACCAGGGCUUCAACACAUACCACUGUGACCACAACCUAGCCAUGAGCAUGAGCCUCACCAGCAUGUCCAAAAUGCUAAAAUACAACAAUGGCAGUGAAGACAUCACUACAUGGAGGGCUGAAGGUACUAUGGAUCUCUUGGUGCUAGAAUUUGAAGCACUAAAUCAAGAGAACUUUUAGACUGUGAAUUGAAGUUAAUGACUCUAGAUGUUGAGCAACUUGAAAUUCCAGAACAAGAGUACAGCUGUGUAAUAAAGAUGCAUUCUAGUGAAUUUGUUCAUAUAUGCCAAGAUCUCAGUCAUAUUGGAGAGUCUGCUAUAAUUUCUUGUGCAAAAGAUGGAGUGAAUUUUUCUGCAAAUGGAGAACUUGGACAUGGAAACAUUGCCACAAACAAGUAAUUACAAUAAAGAAGAGGAGGCUGUUGCCAUAAUGAUGAAUGGGCCAGUUCAGCUAACUUUUGCACUAAGUUACUUAAAUUUCUUUAUAACAGGCACUCCACUCUCUCUUCCCAGUAACACUCAGUAUGUCUGCAGAUGCACCCCUUGCUGUAGAGUAUAAGAUUGCCGGAUAUGGAACAUUUAAAGUAUUAUUUGGCUCCCAAAAUUGAGGAUGAAAAAGGAUUUUAGAAAUUCUUAGAAUCCAAGAAAAUAAAACUAAGCUCUUUGAAAAUUGCUUCUGAGAUUCCAGCGUGUACUGAAGUCAUUUCCAUCAAAAAAUUUAUGCCUCUGAAUACACAGGUAGAUGCGGUUUUCUGUAAAUAACAUAUUUUUUCAUCUAUCUUCUAGAAUCUAUUUAAAGUACAAAAUCCAAAGUCAAAUCUGGUCUCAUUAACCUAGAGAGAUAUCUGCUUUACUUACAAAUAUUCCUUCUGAUUUUUAUAACAAGAGGGUUAUAAAAGGGAUCUUGACUCUAAAUGCAAUUUUUAAGAAUUGUGUUUCUGAUUUAAAUAAAGUUUAAUCUGAAUUUUAA
rnacentral:lncRNA from 1 species